rnacentral:lncRNA from 1 species
AAAUAUACAUUUUUCAAAAGAGAAUAUAAAGUAGUUCCAAAAUAUGAAAUUGUAAUAUUUGAUGCAAAAUAUCUCAAUAAUUCCAAUAUUCCCUUGAGACAAGACAAAAAUUCAUAAGCAUGGGUGCACACCAUUUUGAAUAUAUCCAAGAGUUUCAAUAUCAUUAUAUUUACUUGCUUGAUCUAACUUAAAUAUAACCAAAGGAAC